CAGUCGAACGGUAGAGGGGGCAACCCCUCGAGAGUGGCGAACGGGUGAGUAAUAUAUCGGAACGUGCCCAGUCGUGGGGGAUAACGUAGCGAAAGUUACGCUAAUACCGCAUACGAUCUACGGAUGAAAGCGGGGGAUCGCAAGACCUCGCGCGAUUGGAGCGGCCGAUAUCAGAUUAGGUAGUUGGUGGGGUAAAGGCUCACCAAGCCAACGAUCUGUAGCUGGUCUGAGAGGACGACCAGCCACACUGGAACUGAGACACGGUCCAGACUCCUACGGGAGGCAGCAGUGGGGAAUUUUGGACAAUGGACGCAAGUCUGAUCCAGCCAUUCCGCGUGCAGGAUGAAGGCCCUCGGGUUGUAAACUGCUUUUGUACGGAACGAAAAGGUUUCCAUUAAUACUGGGAGCUCAUGACGGUACCGUAAGAAUAAGCACCGGCUAACUACGUGCCAGCAGCCGCGGUAAUACGUAGGGUGCAAGCGUUAAUCGGAAUUACUGGGCGUAAAGCGUGCGCAGGCGGUUAUGUAAGACAGAGGUGAAAUCCCCGGGCUCAACCUGGGAACUGCCUUUGUGACUGCAUAGCUAGAGUACGGUAGAGGGGGAUGGAAUUCCGCGUGUAGCAGAGAAAUGCGUAGAUAUGCGGAGGAACACCGAUGGCGAAGGCAAUCCCCUGGACCUGUACUGACGCUCAUGCACGAAAGCGUGGGGAGCAAACAGGAUUAGAUACCCUGGUAGUCCACGCCCUAAACGAUGUCAACUGGUUGUUGGGUCUUCACUGACUCAGUAACGAAGCUAACGCGUGAAGUUGACCGCCUGGGGAGUACGGGCCGCAAGGUUGAAACUCAAAGGAAUUGACGG
rnacentral:rRNA from 1 species